rnacentral:misc_RNA from 1 species
GUGAAGAACGUAGCGAAAUGCGAUAAGUAAUGUGAAUUGCAGAAUUCAGUGAAUCAUCGAAUCUUUGAACGCACAUUGCGCCCUCUGGUAUUCCGGGGGGCAUGCCUGUUCGAGCGUCAUUAUAACCACUCAAGCUCUCGCUUGGUAUUGGGGUUCGCGGUUCCGCGGCCCCUAAAAUCAGUGGCGGUGCCUGUCGGCUCUACGCGUAGUAAUACUCCUCGCGAUUGAGUCCGGUAGGUCUACUUGCCAGCAACCCCCAAUUUUUACAGGUUGACCUCGGAUCAGGUAGGGAUACCCGCUGAACUUAAGCAUAUCAAUAAGCGGAGGA